rnacentral:Y_RNA from 1 species
GGCUGGUUCGAAGAUAGGCAUCUCAGUUAUUCACCGCCAGUUACAGAUCGAGCUACUCUUUCCCCCUUCCCACUGCUAUACUUGACUCAUCUUUU